rnacentral:rRNA from 1 species
UCGAGAAUCUUCCUCAAUGGGCGAAAGCCUGAAGGAGCGAUGCCGCGUGCGGGAUGAAGGCCCUCGGGUUGUAAACCGUGAAAGUAAGAAGGAAGGCCUUGUGAAGAACAAGGUUUGACCAAACUACAGUAAGGACGGGCUAAGUUCGUGCCAGCAGCCGCGGUAACACGAACCGUCCAAACGUUAUUCGGAAUCAUUGGGCUUAAAGGGUGCGUAGGCGGCGUGUUAAGUCGGGUGUGAAAUCCCUCAGCUCAACUGAGGAACUGCGCCCGAUACUGGCAUGCUCGAGGGAGACAGGGGUAAGCGGAACUGAUGGUGGAGCGGUGAAAUGCGUUGAUCUCAUCAGGAACACCGGUGGCGAAAGCGGCUUACUGGGUCUCUUCUGACGCUGAGGCACGAAAGCUAGGGUAGCGAACGGGAUUAGAUACCCCCGUAGUCC